UACGUAGGGGGCAAGCGUUGUCCGGAUUUAUUGGGCGUAAAGAGCGUGUAGGCGGCCAUGCAGGUCCGUUGUGAAAACUGGAGGCUUAACCUCCAGACGUCGAUGGAAACCGUAUGGCUAGAGUCCGGAAGAGGAGAGUGGAAUUCCUGGUGUAGCGGUGAAAUGCGCAGAUAUCAGGAAGAACACCCGUGGCGAAGGCGGCUCUCUGGGGACGGUACUGACGCUGAGACGCGAAAGCGUGGGGAGCGAAGCAGG
rnacentral:rRNA from 1 species